GGUUUAUCUUCUCCAGAGGUUUGUCUGGUGAAAUUGCAUGUGAUGUUUAGCAGUAGAGCCAUUUCGCUGUUCGGCAGCUGCCGCGAUGGAAAGUGCAAACGCAGAGCAACAGCGACCUCGUUGGCGCCGGUGGAGGAGGAGGACUCUGCGGGUUUCCCGUAGGCUGCUCUGCUGCUCAUGUUGGCGCGGUGAGGAGAGGGAUCCUCUGCAGCAGCAGGAAAGGAAGAUCAAUGGGGGCUCUCGGCAUCCACACUUGGAUCAGCGGGGAUCAGGUGAGAGGGAGGCUAUCCAGAUUACGGUAGAGGACCUGGGGAUAGUUAACACCGGCUUCAGCCUGUGCGAGGAGGACACCCCGACCUCGGGCAACAGCACGGCCCGCUCAGCUAGCUCCGUGUCCGCCUGCCUGAGGGCUCUGAAAAAGAAACGACUGGGGCCUCUGUUUUCACUCCCUAUGGACAUGCAGGGAAAACUGGCCAUCACUUCUACCAGUGGAGAAGGUGGUGAUGAAGAGGACGACGACCCGCUGGUGUUUGAGAGUGGCACUGAUGUCACGCCAGCUCCUGGAAGCCUCCUAUCACCGCCCGUCAUUAAUCUGAUCCCACCCACUCCAUCCGAUGUCGUUGACGACGAUCAGUUCUUUGACGUUAAUUUGGAAGACAUUGUGGCAAACGAUGCUGUCAGCGGUGGAAGCUCUGGUGCUGGUGACCACGAGCGCUACGAGGAAUCGAUGAAGGGUGCCGAGGCAAAGGUGUCAACCGUGGAAUUUCCACCGGCAGAGAGUAAGGUCAGUGCUGAUGAUUCAGCUGGGCUUGAAGAGGCCCCACGUGACGGGUCUGGAGAAGAAGAAGAGGCAGAGACAACCAAAGAUGGGGACGAGGAGAAAACAAAGCCAAGGCUCUUACGUUGUGCGUACCAGGUGGCUCCUCUCCCUAAGUACACUCAGAAAAAUGAACUGAGCAACACAGAUGUGAACUGCUCCGACAUGCCGAAAGCUGAACUCUGCCUGCUUCCUGCCAACAUGGACACAUUUACUCACCAAAGGAGGCUCAUAACGCGCUCCUGCAGUCUUGAAGACACACCGACCAGGAGCGCCACUUUCCACGCUUUGACCCAGACCACAGACCACCAGGAAGAUGAGAGGUCGCUCCAACAGCGCCGCAUAACCGUUGCAUCAUAUAUGCCUCAGUCUCAGGAUCAGAAUGGAAACUUCCCUGAGAAGCUCUCGAUCUGUCAAAGCAAUGACUCUGCAAAUAGUCCUACGAUAUUCAUCUCCGUGUCCAG
ensembl:lncRNA